CAGAGGGUGCAAGCGUUAAUCGGAUUUACUGGGCGUAAAGCGUGCGUAGGCGGUUCAUUAAGUCGGUUGUGAAAUCCCUGGGCUUAACCUGGGAACUGCAGUCGAUACUGAUGGACUAGAGUACGGUAGAGGGUGGCGGAACUCCGGGUGUAGCGGUGAAAUGCGUAGAUAUCCGGAAGAACACCGAUGGCGAAGGCAACCACCUGGGCCUGUACUGACGCUGAGGUACGAAAGCGUGGGGAGCAAACAGGAUUAGAUACCCUGGUAGUCCACGCUGUAAACGAUGAGAACUUGACGUCGGUUCGCCUAGCGAAUCGGUGUCGUAGCUAACGCGCUAAGUUCUCCGCCUGGGGAGUACGGCCGCAAGGUUG
rnacentral:rRNA from 1 species